GUUGGGAGCUCUCCCAUAUGGUCGACCUGCAGGCGGCGCGAAUUCACUAGUGAUUAGAGUUUGAUCAUGGCUCAGAACGAACGCUUUCGGUAUGCUUAACACAUGCAAGUCGAACGGAUUUAUUUAGAGCUUGCUUUAAAUAAAUUAGUGGCAGACGGGUGAGUAACACGUGGGAAUCUGCCCAUCAGUACGGAAUAACAUUUAGAAAUAAUUGCUAAUACCGUAUAUUCUCUUUGGAGGAAAGAUUUAUCGCUGAUGGAUGAGCCCGCGCCAGAUUAGGUAGUUGGUAGGGUAAUGGCCUACCAAGCCAAUGAUCUGUAGCUGGUUUGAGAGAAUGAUCAGCCACACUGGGACUGAGACACGGCCCAGACUCCUAUGGGAGGCAGCAGUGGGGAAUAUUGGACAAUGGGCGAAAGCCUGAUCCAGCAAUGCCGCGUGAGUGAUGAAGGCCUUAGGGUUGUAAAGCUCUUUUGCCCGGGAUGAUAAUGACAGUACCGGGAGAAU
rnacentral:rRNA from 1 species